ensembl:snoRNA small nucleolar RNA SNORA68
AGUGCACACUAAACCCAAAGAUCAUUAUUUCAAUUGUAUAAUGCUCUUGCCUGUUGUGCACAGAUUAACUGUGCCUUGUCGCCUUUCGUAGGCUGCUGUGCCUUCGAAAGUGAAUUCAAGGGUCUACAUUU